GAUGAACGCUGGCGGCGUGCCUAAUACAUGCAAGUCGAGCGAAUGAAGUUCCUUCGGGAAUGGAUUUAGCGGCGGACGGGUGAGUAACACGUGGGCAACCUGCCUCAUAGAGGGGAAUAGCCUUCCGAAAGGGAGAUUAAUACCGCAUAAGCUUGUAGUACCGCAUGGUACAGCAAUUAAAGGAGCAAUCCGCUAUGAGAUGGGCCCGCGGCGCAUUAGCUAGUUGGUGAGGUAACGGCUCACCAAGGCGACGAUGCGUAGCCGACCUGAGAGGGUGAUCGGCCACAUUGGGACUGAGACACGGCCCAGACUCCUACGGGAGGCAGCAGUGGGGAAUAUUGCACAAUGGGGGAAACCCUGAUGCAGCAACGCCGCGUGAGUGAUGACGGCCUUCGGGUUGUAAAGCACUGUCUUCAGGGACGAUAAUGACGGUACCUGAGGAGGAAGCCACGGCUAACUACGUGCCAGCCGCCGCGGUAA
rnacentral:rRNA from 1 species